rnacentral:rRNA from 1 species
UACGAAGGGGGCUAGCGUUGCUCGGAAUCACUGGGCGUAAAGCGCACGUAGGCGGAUUGCUAAGUCAGGGGUGAAAUCCUGGAGCUCAACUCCAGAACUGCCUUCGAUACUGGAGAGCUCGAGUCCGGGAGAGGUGAGUGGAACUGCGAGUGUAGAGGUGAAAUUCGUAGAUAUUCGCAAGAACACCAGUGGCGAAGGCGGCUCACUGGCCCGGUACUGACGCUGAGGUGCGAAAGCGUGGGGAGCAAACAGG